rnacentral:rRNA from 1 species
CGGUGUUUAACUGGCGUGAUGUGGGACGUCCUACCGGUGGGCUUAGCCUCGCGAGGGGCGGCCCAACUAAUAUCCCGUCGCGGUGCUCUUUACUGAGUGUCGAGUCGGGCCGGUACGUUUACUUUGAACAAAUUAGAGUGCUUAAAGCAGGCUAUCCUCGCCUGAAUACUGCGUGCAUGGAAUAAUGGAAUAGGACCUCGGUUCUAUUUUGUUGGUUUUCGGAACCCCGAGGUAAUGAUUAAUAGGGACAGAUGGGGGCAUUCGUAUUGCGACGUUAGAGGUGAAAUUCUUGGAUCGUCGCAAGACGGACAGAAGCGAAAGCAUUUGCCAAAAAUGUUUUCAUUAAUCAAGAACGAAAGUUAGAGGUUCGAAGGCGAUCAGAUACCGCCCUAGUUCUAACCAUAAACGACGCCAGCUAGCGAUCCGCCGAAGUUCCUCCGAUGACUCGGCGGGCAGCUUCCGGGAAACCAAAGCUUUUGGGUUCCGGGGGAAGUAUGGUUGCAAAGCUGAAACUUAAAGGAAUUGACGGAAGGGCACCACCAGGAGUGGAGCCUGCGGCUUAAUUUGACUCAACACGGGAAACCUCACCAGGCCCAGACACCGGAAGGAUUGACAGAUUGAUAGCUCUUUCUUGAUUCGGUGGGUGGUGGUGCAUGGCCGUUCUUAGUUGGUGGAGCGAUUUGUCUGGUUAAUUCCGAUAACGAACGAGACUCUAGCCUGCUAAAUAGGCGUACCUUAUGGUAUCGCGAAGGCCCCCGGCUUCGGCCGGUGGGUUUUUACUACCAACGUACAAACAAAUCUUCUUAGAGGGACAGGCGG